rnacentral:rRNA from 1 species
UAAUGCAGUCGAGCGGACAGAUGGGAGCUUGCUCCCUGAUGUUAGCGGCGGACGGGUGAGUAACACGUGGGUAACCUGCCUGUAAGACUGGGAUAACUCCGGGAAACCGGGGCUAAUACCGGAUGGUUGUUUGAACCGCAUGGUUCAGACAUAAAAGGUGGCUUCGGCUACCACUUACAGAUGGACCCGCGGCGCAUUAGCUAGUUGGUGAGGUAACGGCUCACCAAGGCGACGAUGCGUAGCCGACCUGAGAGGGUGAUCGGCCACACUGGGACUGAGACACGGCCCAGACUCCUACGGGAGGCAGCAGUAGGGAAUCUUCCGCAAUGGACGAAAGUCUGACGGAGCAACGCCGCGUGAGUGAUGAAGGUUUUCGGAUCGUAAAGCUCUGUUGUUAGGGAAGAACAAGUGCCGUUCAAAUAGGGCGGCACCUUGACGGUACCUAACCAGAAAGCCACGGCUAACUACGUGCCAGCAGCCGCGGUAAUACGUAGGUGGCAAGCGUUGUCCGGAAUUAUUGGGCGUAAAGGGCUCGCAGGCGGUUUCUUAAGUCUGAUGUGAAAGCCCCCGGCUCAACCGGGGAGGGUCAUUGGAAACUGGGGAACUUGAGUGCAGAAGAGGAGAGUGGAAUUCCACGUGUAGCGGUGAAAUGCGUAGAGAUGUGGAGGAACACCAGUGGCGAAGGCGACUCUCUGGUCUGUAACUGACGCUGAGGAGCGA